rnacentral:tRNA from 1 species
UCCAGGGUAGCCUAGUGGACAUGGCAUCUGCUCGGUAAGCGGAACACUGUGGAUUCAAUUCCUAUCCCUGGAU